GACGAACGCUGGCGGCGUGCUUAACACAUGCAAGUCGAACGGAAAGGCCUCUUUCGGGGGGUACUCGAGUGGCGAACGGGUGAGUAACACGUGAGUAACCUGCCCUUGACUUUGGGAUAACUUCAGGAAACUGGGGCUAAUACCGGAUAGGAGCUCCUGCUGCAUGGUGGGGGUUGGAAAGUUUCGGCGGUUGGGGAUGGACUCGCGGCUUAUCAGCUUGUUGGUGGGGUAGUGGCUUACCAAGGCUUUGACGGGUAGCCGGCCUGAGAGGGUGACCGGCCACAUUGGGACUGAGAUACGGCCCAGACUCCUACGGGAGGCAGCAGUGGGGAAUAUUGCACAAUGGGUGGAAGCCUGAUGCAGCAACGCCGUGUGCGGGAGGUCGGCCUUCGGGUUGUAAACCGCUUUCGCUCAUGACGAAGCUUUGUGUGACGGUAGUGGGUAAAGAAGCACCGGCUAACUACGUG
rnacentral:rRNA from 1 species